AGUGAACGCUGGCGGUAGGCCUAACACAUGCAAGUCGAACGGCAGCACAGGAGAGCUUGCUCUCUGGGUGGCGAGUGGCGGACGGGUGAGGAAUACAUCGGAAUCUACUUUUUCGUGGGGGAUAACGUAGGGAAACUUACGCUAAUACCGCAUACGACCUACGGGUGAAAGCAGGGGAUCUUCGGACCUUGCGCGAUUGAAUGAGCCGAUGUCGGAUUAGCUAGUUGGCGGGGUAAAGGCCCACCAAGGCGACGAUCCGUAGCUGGUCUGGGGGGAUGAUCAGCCAACCUGGAACUGAGACACGGUCCAGAAUCCUACGGGAGGCAGCAGUGGGGAAUAUUGGACAAUGGGCGCAAGCCUGAUCCAGCCAUACCGCGUGGGUGAAGAAGGCCUUCGGGUUGUAAAGCCCUUUUGUUGGGAAAGAAAUCCAGCUGGUUAAUACCCGGUUGGGAUGACGGUACCCAAAGAAUAAGCACCGGCUAACUUCGUGCCAGCCGCCGCGGUAA
rnacentral:rRNA from 1 species